ACCAAAAAAAAAAAAAAAUCAUUUGUUAGCUACUAUUGUAGCAGUUUACUUUCUUAAUCACACAAGGAAGAGUUUAAAUAGGCAAAUCUCCAAUUUCCUAUUGCAUGCUCAACAAGAAAUGAGAUACCCCCAGCAGGUGUUAUUAUGACUUUCAUAAGUUGUUAAGAAUGUUCUUCUCUAGAAAUAUUUUACUCCUGAAAGCCACUUUAUACAUUGUUGAUGGAGGUAUGACAUUGCUUUGGGGUUUGGGUACAAGUUUUAUGUUGUAAUUGGGCCUCUUCUCAAUCUCUUGAAGUUGGAUUGGGCGUUCUAACAUGAAAUUAUUAAGUGGCAGUUUUCGUAUGUACCUAGACUUCAUUUAUAGACCCAUUUGUUUAUUUGGGCUACCCAGCAGCAAUUGCUGCAAUUCCAAUAUAAUUUCUGUUGGGCCUACAUUUCAUGCAAAUAGGGGUGUUCAGAGUGGGAAGUCCCAUAUUGGUUUAAUUGUUGAUUUCAUCACAUGUUG
rnacentral:misc_RNA from 1 species